AGGGGUGUAGCUCAGCAGUGGAGGAACUGCUCUUCAUGCAGAAGCUCCAGAGUUCAAUCCCUGGCAUCUCUA